CCCAGCAAAGAGCAGCACACAGCUGAAAGAAAAACUCAGAAGACAGAGCUGAAAAAGAAAACUGGUGAUGGAUCUCAUUCCAAACUUUGCCAUGGAAACAUGGGUUCUCGUGGCUACCAGCCUGGUACUCCUCUAUAUCACUCUUUCCAUUUCUUACCCCAGUUUUUGAAGCCCUAAAUAUCGGUUUGUUUCCAAAAGAUGUUACCCGUUUUUUAAAAAAUUCCAUUGAAAGGAUGAAAGAAAGUCGCCUCAAAGAUAAACAAAAGCACCGAGUAGAUUUCUUCCAACAGAUGAUUGACUCCCAGAAUUCCAAAGAAACAAAGUCCCAUAAAGCUCUGUCUGAUCUGGAGCUUGUGGCCCAGUCAAUUAUCAUCACUUUUGCUGCCUAUGACACAACUAGCACCACUCUCCCCUUCAUUAUGUAUGAACUGGCCACUCACCCUGAUGUCCAGCAGAAACUGCAGGAGGAGAUUGACGCAGUUUUACCCAAUAAGGCACCUGUCACCUAUGAUGCCCUGGUACAGAUGGAAUACCUUGACAUGGUGGUGAAUGAAACGCUCAGAUUAUUCCCAGUUGUUAGUAGAGUUACGACAGUCUGCAAGAAAGAUAUUGAAAUCAAUGGAGUCUUAAUUCCCAAAGGGUUAGCAGUGAUGGUUCCAAUCUAUGCUCUUCACCAUGACCCAAAGUACUGGACAGAGCCUGAGAAGUUCUGCCCUGAAAGGUUCAGUAAGAAGAACAAGGACAGCAUAGAUCCUUACAGAUACAUACCUUUUGGAGCUGGACCCCGAAACUGCAUUGGCAUGAGGUUUGCUCUCACAAACAUAAAACUUGCUGUCAUUAGAGCACUGCAGAACUUCUCCUUCAAACCUUGUAAAGAGACGCAGAUCCCACUGAAAUUAGACAAUCUACCAAUUCUUCAACCAGAAAAACCUAUUGUUCUAAAAGUGCACUUAAGAGAUGGGAUUACAAGUGGACCCUGACUUUCCCUAAGAGCUUCCACUUUGUUCAAGAAAGCUGUAUCCCA
rnacentral:sRNA from 1 species